GAGAUAGAGGUGCAUUGUUACAAUAGUAAGUAUUUCUGAGAUUCGCAGAUUGUUAGAGGAAGUACUGAAAGGGUGCAUUGCCGAAGCUUCAUCCUAUGCGUAUGGGUGCGGCUGGGCAUAUUGUUAACAGCAAUAUGACUGUCAUCAUUUUUUUGAUGGGGAGCUAUCGU
rnacentral:ncRNA from 1 species